ACUCAAAGGAAUUGACGGGGGCCCGCACAAGCGGUGGAGCAUGUGGUUUAAUUCGACGCAACGCGAAGAACCUUACCUACUCUUGACAUCCACGGAACCUAGCUGAGAGGCUGGGGUGCCGCGAGGAACCGUGAGACAGGUGCUGCAUGGCUGUCGUCAGCUCGUGUCGUGAGAUGUUGGGUUAAGUCCCGUAACGAGCGCAACCCUUGUCCUUAGUUGCCAUUGGGUGAUGCCAGGAACUCUAAGGAGACUGCCGGUGAUAAGCCGGAGGAAGGCGGGGAUGACGUCAAGUCCUCAUGGCCCUUACGAGUAGGGCUACACACGUGCUACAAUGGGCGGUACAAAGGGAAGCGAAGCUGUGAGGUGGAGCGAAUCUUUUGAAAGCUGCUCGUAGUCCGGAUUGGAGUCUGGAACUCGACUCCAUGAAGUUGGAAUCGCUAGUAAUCGUAGAUCAGAAUGCUACGGUGAAUACGUUCUCGGGCCUUGUACACACCGCCCGU
rnacentral:rRNA from 1 species